GCCGGCAUGUGUGUGGGUGUGUGGGUGUGUAUGUGUGUGUGACGGAGCAAGAGGGGGAGCUCUGAAACUCACACACACAUAUACACACACACAUGCGCAGGACUGUGCAGAGAUAGAUAGAGCUUUUCCAAGCUUUUCAGGAGCAGAGCGGUGGCAGAGGGAUUACUCCAAUAUCCAUCCGUCUCUACCUUCAUGCCUCCUAGGGGUCAGUGCCAGAGGAGCGUGGAGGACUGAGAUGGAGACAGAUAGAGGUCCGAAUCGUUAGCUGUGAUUUACUGAAGAGGGGUAGCAAGCAUGGUCCUUCACAGUGGAGGAUUGAACAGCAUUGUGCUGGUUCUCAGUCUAUCACUGUUUGACAGCUUACACACUGUUUCCCUGAACAGAGAUGGAAGAGAACCAAGCUGGACCAAGAAAACCGCAGUUUCAGGGGCACAGUGGUCACAGUGGACAACCCAGAUGUCCAGAACUAAGAUGGACACUACCACUGCUUCACCCAUGAUCAAUUCACUCUUCACAGAGCUCACAAUCAAGUUUGAAAAGAACAGCAAUGCACUGAAAGAUCUGGCUGGAACCAUGGCUGCUGCAUCAAAUCUCAACAGCCGAAGGAACAUCUCAUUACCAAAGCCAUCUACUACUGAAACAUGGACAGCGAAUGAUACUCCAGCAAAGGCUUGGUCACGAACUCAGGGUAAUGAGUGGAUUCCAGUGAAAGAGUUUUCAGAUUUGGCUCAGUCAUAUUUAGGAGAUUUUGAUGCUUAUUCAUCUGAAAGAUCUGACUCUCAAGCAUGGAAAUCUCAAUCUGGCUUUCAACCUCAGGAGAAUACAGAAACUCCAGAGUUCACACAUGUCCACAUGUCUCAAACAUCUCCUGACCAAAGAAGAGUAAAGACUAAACUUGGUGUUGACUCAACACAGAGGGAGUCCAAAUCCACAGGUCAGAAAACAGAUAUAGGAAAGUUUUCUGAUGCAGGUACAGAUGUGGGACAAGAACAAAAAGACCUACUAACUACUGCAAAGGACACUGGUAAAGAGAUAGAGGAGUCAACCACCAAGCCCCCUCAACAAACAAUAGGGUUGACAAGUUAUCCUAAAGAAAGUCUGAUGAAGCCCAACUGGACAAGACCUAGUUUGGACACAUCUAAAGAAGAUGGCGUAGGUCCUCUAGAAGAAGAACGGAAGAGGAAGCAAGACGCCAGAAUGACCCCAGCAACAACAACACUCACACUUAAUCCAGGCUUAUCUGUGUUUAACACUGAUGCUACUGAAUCCUCCUCUCUACCUGACUGCAACCAGGACUCUACAGGGAUCUGCAAUUCCUCAAAGCCUCUAAGGAACCCUGGUCUCUCUGACGACAGUAUCUCCGAUGACUUGGCUCCAGCCUCCCCAGUGCUUCCUCCUAGUGAAGAUAUGACCCCACCUCCUGUAGCCCUGACCCCACCCCUUCUGGUGCCUCUGUUGACUGACUGGAACGCUGCCAUGGCUACUUGGGGCCUAGCCUGGGAGUUGCAGGUGUAUGGACUGGGUUGUGUGUUUUCCCUGGUGGCCAUGAUUUCUGCCCUCAGCCUGCUGUGUCUGCCCCUGUGCUGGCCGUCUGGCUGUGCCCAGUUCAGCCUCCUGCACCUCCUGCAGCUGCUGGCUGGCAGUAGCCGUGCCCUGUGGCUGCUCUAUGACCCGUACGGUCAGCGUGAGCGGCUCCCGGCAGCUUGGGUGCGCCUCUUGCACGAGGCCACUUAUCCCUGCUUGACUGCCGCCUUCGGCCUGCUGCUGCUGCUACUGUGCGGCCUGUCUCCCUCCCAGCUGCUUUCCCAGAGCACCUUGCGGCGCUGUGGCUGCCUACUGGCUGCACUGGUGCUGGUGCACGUUGCAGUUGUAAUGGGAUCUGUUGCCAUCCUGAGGCUUUUUCCAACCCUCCCAGUUGUCCCUCUGCUGCCCCCAGCUGCCUUCUUACUACUGGCCUCUAUCUUCUCCUUCUCAUACCUGCUGUUCUACUGCUGCACCCGCACAGACGCCAAGCACAUCUACAGGCUGAGUGAGACAUCGCCGGACCACCAAGCUAACCGCUGCCCCCUAGCAGAGGCCAGUGUAUGGGAAAGAGCAGCAGGGACCGGCCUUUUCGCAGCACUUUUCCUUCUUGCAUGUGGAGGGCUCCGGCUCUAUGCGAUCCUGCAUGCGACUGGGCUGACGGAUGAGGAGACAGUGGGACUGAUGCCCUGGCCCUGGUGGGGCUUCCAGCUCAGUUGCAGAGUGUGUGAGGUGGGAGUGUGUCUCUCCGUGGCUCUCGUCAUCACACACCCUCUCCUCUGCUGUGGAAGAGCCGCUCCUAAGUUUGGUCGCUGGAGCUCGAUGUUUAACAGGAAGAGGAUAUCCACAGGGGGCACUACUUCAGCCACAAAGCCAACUAUCCUGCCAACCAGCUGGUCCAAGAGGCCUGGAGAGAAACUGAGCCUCAGGGAUGGUAUGGUACAAGAUGAGAGUGAGAGUGUGCCCCUCUACACCUUGGCAGAAGUGCCACUUUGCGAAAUGGACGGCUUGGACCUUCAUUAUCCCAGCAGUCCUCAGAACCAGGCUUUGCUGCAGCACUCUGCAACCACAAAUAAUGCCCAAAUAGUCUCCAGACACUCAUCUCUGGCUAGCCUAAAUGGCGACUCCACUGUGGACCUGCGGCCUCCGUCUCCAAUCGACCUGCGGCGCAGCAUUGAUGAAGCUCUCAACAGUGAAGCCCUGUUCCGGAGGAGCCUCUUCAGCUCCUCCAGGCUCUCUUUGAGCACACGUGGGCCUCCAGAUGGACAGCCCUGCAGAGGGACCUCCGCCGAGCCUGUUCUCUACCGCACGGCCUCGUGCGGGGACGUGGACUCCCCAUGUAGGGAUUCGAUCUCCAGCUCUCUGCAUGGAGGCCCAAGAGGUCGUGGAGGUCCAACAGCUUUGUACAGCUCCAGGCACCAGUCUCAGAGCAGCCUUCCCAGAGGGAGCCUGCCCAGGGUGCAGUCUGGACGUCCAUCACAGAAGCAGUACAAGGUCCUAAACUCCACCGCCUCCAGAGAGAGCAUAUAUGAGAAAGACCAUGCUUAUACGCAGGCUGAUGAACUGGCUGUGCAAGCUGAAUUUAAAAGUGUGUGCAGACAGAUAGAUGCACUCAGUGUGAGCAGCGACACAAUUGAACUGUGA
ensembl:lncRNA